rnacentral:lncRNA from 1 species
GCGCAGGACUCCACGAUGUCUCCCUGGGAAAUUAGGGCUUUCAGUUCGUUGUUAUUGACUACCGUGGGGAUUUGUUUUCUGUCCUGCUACGUAAAUGUCUUUAUGGAGUCAUUGCUGCUGUGCUUCAGGGAAGGUUUGCACUUCACAGAGGUGGCCCUUUCUUCAGCAUCCAUCACGGUCGUCUGCAAAUGUCAGCAGCUCUGAGUCGGAACUGCUCCAGCCCAGCUCGCCCUCCUGGGCAACCUCAUCAUCUCCCCAGCACCAGCCCCCAUCACCAUGGAAUACCUGCUUAGGUGGCCUAGUGUUUCUCCACCACCCUCUUCUCGGCACUGAGCAUUGCUGUUGGGGGUAAAGGUUAGGGGAAAGACUUUGGGCCACACUUUUUUUUUCUUAUUCUAGCCGAAAGCCAGAAUGCACAAAAGGAAGAGGCCAAAGAGAUCCAUGGUGGUUGAGGUGAGAAGAUGCUGGGCUUCUGGACACAAGGAGGAGUGAGGGGAGUAGACACCCCACCAUUCUCUUACUCGUGAGGGACACCUGCAUAGGCUGCUAUAGCCACCGUGGCCGAGAAAAAAACUAGCUCUCCCAAGACGCCCCACCCUAAUCUCUGGAACCUGUGAAUGUGUUAGGUUACAUGGCAAACAGGAUUUAAGGGUGCAGAUGGCAUGAAGGUUGUCAAUCAGAUGACCCCGAAAUAGAGGGAUUAGCCUGGAUUACCUGAGAGGCCGAUGUAAUCACAGGGUCGGUCCUUAAAGGGGGAAGAGGGGAUUGCAAGAGAUGCCAGAGAGACAGCAGCCUGAGGACUCAGAUCAAUGUUGCUGCCUUUGAAGGAGGAGAAGGCGGCCAUGAGGCAGGACAGGCAGGCAGCUUCUAGAAGCUUGAAAAGGCUAGAAAAGGGAUCUCUCUUAGACCUUCUAUACAGGCAACGCACCCUGCCAGCACCUUGUUCUGACCCUGGUGACUUCCGUGUCAGACAUGUGAUCUACAGAACUGUAAGCUGUUAAAUUUGGGGUUUUUUAAACAAAACAAAACUAAAUAUAAAAUUGGCAACAAUUUGUUGCAGCCGCAACAGGGAACUAAUACAAUCUAUAAACCUUAAAUACUCUCAAUUUGUGAACCUUUUGUCAACCAGAAGAAAAUGUCCCAUUUGAGAGUUUUCAUAUCAUGUUUUAGAUUUAAAACACUAUCCAGAACUGCACACCUGCUCCGUUUUCCUAGAAAAACCACUUUCUCAUGGCCUACAAAAUUUGCCAUGAUUUUCUUAAGGUGUAUAUGAAGUUAAGCUCUGGUCAACUGGUCAGUUUGGUCUUGCUCUGAAAACUUUCAAAAAAGCAAUUUUGUGUUUGAACCAACUUUGUUAAAUUGGUGAAAGGUGGCCAUGGUUGCUAAGAGAAGCUGCCAGGGUGUUUCCAUGGGAACAAUUGUUUUUAAAUCAGGAAUAACAAGCUCUCUCUGUAAAGAGCUGAAAUAGGGAAGGCAGGGGAGGAGGCUACUUCUUACUUCUUCCUCAUAAAGAGGAAACAGCCAGAGGUUUCCUGCCAGUUCCUGAAGUUCAGCAGACAUUGCCCUGACACUUUGUGAAGGGCAAUAGUAAAUGCAUGCGUUUCAGGUUCAAACAGAUCUGGGUGUGAAUUCCUGAUUCACCAGAGCCACCUGCAAGACCUAGAGUAAGACGCGGAACUACCCUGGGAUGCUGUUGUGUUAGUCAGGAAACGGGGAUUAUGAGAGUAGGACUCACCUCCUGGGAUGGGUGUGGUUCCAUGAGAAAACACACGCAAUGUGUCAUGGACAGUCCCCGGGAAGUAGUAAGAUCUCAAUCCCUGAUGGUGCUGUCAUACUCGGACAAGAGACUGGUUGCAAAGCUCCAUAUUGUGCUUCCAAACCAACUCAGAGAAAGACGUUUUAGAGAUUUCCAAGCCAUCCGGUGCUGAGAGGCGGUUCUCUGGUUUAUGACUGGUAGGAGCUCAGCCCACAUGUAAGUCACCUUGAGGCAGCCACACUAGUCUGUACUCCCCACAAGGAGCAAGUCCAGUGCUCCCGUGCUUGGCCGUCCUGGUGACACCAUCAAAACUUUGGCUCUCUUGGUGGACCGAGUGGACUGGCCCUGAUCGGGGCACCUGCUUUGAGGUGCACUUCUCUAGGUGGCAGCAACUGUUUAUUUUCUCUGAUUUCACUGGAGAAUGACUGGUGAGAAGGGGCAGAAGGUAAUGGGAGGGGGGCCAGCCCAGGCCGUAAGCAAGCACAGGAACUUUGGUGACCGACUGACCGGAUUGCAGAAACUUCCACCACCAUAAAGGGAAAAGGCUCAGCUGUGUGCAAGGGGCCACGUCUAGGAUGGGGAGCUGGGAAAGUAGCUAAAUCCUGGGUUGAACUGGUAGGACUAGACAGGAAAGAAACUAGAGGUUGACCAGUUGUCAGCAGAAGGGCCAUGAGAGGAUGGGGUACAAAUGAUAGACAGGGGGGACCUGGGGCAGCUCUGCCCUGGGGGAUGUGUGUUCCUGGCUUGGCAAGCCCGAGGGGUGGUGGUGAGCUGUCUGUGAGACCAGGCUGGUCAGCUCAGGCCAGUCAGCUCAGGCCAUCAGAAAAACUCCCCUUGCCGCCAGCAGAGCUGGCCUUCAGGUAAGAUCUCCGUGAGAAACGUUCAUCUGGGCCCAGCGUCAGGCAGCGUCAGACCUUCUUAACUGGUGUCUUCCUGUCUGAGGUCAGAACUGGGGACUUGCUCGGGCAGCCCUUUUUGCCACGGGCUGCUGGAAACCUUAGGGCCACAUAUGUCCUCCAUGUGGCGCAGGUGUGAAGUCUCGGGGGCACGCGUGUCGGAUUGAGAUUCGGUUCUGCAUUCGUCUUAUGUCCCCGCUCUGGUUUGUCUUUCUGACUUAACACUUAAACAUUGAUGACUCGUGCUCCUGAAAUAGAAAAGUAUGCGUUUAAAUUUAACUUGUCUUCAUUUUACAAAUAAUUUUUUUGUCAUUACAAAAUGGUAUAAUCUAUGGUGCGCUGAAAUUUAUGAUCCAAUCUACCUGUAUCUGUGGCGUCCUCGUGAGUCCCAUGUCUACAGCAUCAUCUAUAAUCAGAAGAGCACAGUCCUCUGUAUGCUAAAGAGAAAGCAGACAAAAAUAAGAAAAACUCACCUCUAAUCCCACUGCUAUUAAUAUUUAGAGGAGGAGUUCCCGUUGUGGCGCAGUGGUUAACGAAUCCGACUAGGAACCAUGAGGUUGCGGGUUUGAUCCCUGGCCUUGCUCAGUGGGUUGAGGAUCCAGCGUUGCCGUGAGCUGUGGUGUAGGUUGCAAACGCAGCUCGGAUCCCACGUUGCUGUGGCUGUGUCUCAGGCCAGCAGCUGUAGCUCUGAUUAGACCCCUAGCCUGGGAACCUCCAUAUGCUGAGGGAGCGGCCCUAGAAAAGGC